rnacentral:rRNA from 1 species
UUUGGCGACUAUGGCGGAGGGGUUCCA